GACGCUGGCGGCGUGCCUAAUACAUGCAAGUCGAACGAGAUCCCGGAGCUUGCUCCGGGGGACAGUGGCGAACGGGUGAGUAACACGUGAGAAACCUGCCCUAGAGACCGGGACAACCGUUGGAAACGGCGGCUAAUACCGGAUGCCUUCACACGGUCGCAUGACCGAGUGAAGAAAUGCUCAGGUGCUCUAGGAGGGUCUCGCGGCCUAUCAGCUAGUUGGUGAGGUAACGGCUCACCAAGGCAUCGACGGGUAGCUGGUCUGAGAGGACGAUCAGCCACACUGGGACUGAGACACGGCCCAGACUCCUACGGGAGGCAGCAGUAGGGAAUCUUGCGCAAUGGGGGCAACCCUGACGCAGCAACGCCGCGUGUGGGAUGACGGCUUUCGGGUUGUAAACCACUUUCAGUGAUGACGAAAAUGACGGUAAUCACAGAAGAAGGUCCGGCCAACUACGUGCCAGCAGCCGCGGUAACACGUAGGGACCGAGCGUUGUCCGGAUUUAUUGGGCGUAAAGAGCUCGUAGGCGGUUCUGUAAGUCGGAUGUGAAAACUCAGGGCUCAACCCUGAGACGCCAUCUGAUACUGCAGUGACUAGAGUCCGGUAGAGGAAGAUGGAAUUCCUGGUGUAGCGGUGGAAUGCGCAGAUAUCAGGAGGAACACCAACGGCGAAGGCAGUCUUCUGGGCCGGUACUGACGCUGAGGAGCGAAAGCAUGGGGAGCAAACAGGAUUAGAUACCCUGGUAGUCCAUGCCGUAAACGUUGGGCACUAGGUGUGGGGUCUUCUAACGGAUUCCGUGCCGUAGCUAACGCAUUAAGUGCCCCGCCUGGGGAGUACGGCCGC
rnacentral:rRNA from 1 species